GAGGAUCAAUAAUUCUCUCUGGAAUCUUGGGCCAACAAUGAAGAUCCUGACCUUCAUACUGGAAGAUUUCCGUUUGUUCUUCGAAUUUUCACUGUGCGCAAUUCACAAAAUAGUUACAAAUGUCUGUAACCUAAUACGAUAUCAUAAUAAGUGCCAUAGAAGUAGCACUUCGUCAUUGCAUUGAACUCGACAAACAAAACUUUGUUGCUGAAUUCUCACCUGUCAUCCAUCUGAACAAGAAAGCGGAGAACUUGGCCGAAAUAAAUCUAAGAACAUUGCAAUGGAAUAUUGGAUAACUUCAGCAGAAAGGCAAUGGGGAGGGGGGCAAAAAUCCUGGUGUCUCUCCUAGGACAGGACCUGCAAAUUCAAAAAGAAUAGACCAUUCUCCUGAAACACAGAUACAGGCAGAAGAGCUGAGGCAGGUGGCACAGGUGCAGACUUGGAUACAGGAGAGUCAGUACAGUACACCGGAGUCAGGCAGAAGCAUUGUCAGGAGCAAGACGUAGGCAGGAAUUUAACAAGCAUUUAAUUCUCAUUGUCUACCGGAUAAAAUGAGGUAGUGAAGAUUAAAUGCCCUUACAGGGAGAAAUCAUCC